AUUGAACGCUGGCGGCAGGCCUAACACAUGCAAGUCGAGCGGAGCACCGGAAGGGUGAGUAAUGCCUAGGAAUCUGCCUGGUAGUGGGGGAUAACGUCAGGAAACGGGCGCUAAUACCGCAUACUCUUUGAAGAGCCUAGGUCGGAUUAGCUAGUUGGUGGGGUAAAGGCUGACCAAGGCGACGAUCCGUAACUGGUCUGAGAGGAUGAUCAGUCACACUGGAACUGAGACACGGCCCAGAUUCCUACGGGAGGCAGCAGUGGGGAAUAUUGGGCAAUGGGCGAAAGCCUGAUGCAGCCAUGCCGCGUGUGUGAAGAAGGUCUUCGGAUUGUAAAGCACUUUAAGUUGGGAGGCGUUACCAACAGAAUAAGCACCGGCUAACUUCGUGCCAGCAGCCGCGGUAAUAC
rnacentral:rRNA from 1 species